rnacentral:rRNA from 1 species
GGACCGGAGUGGACGCAUCACUGGUGUUCGGGUUGUCAUGCCAAUGGCACUGCCCGGUAGCUAAAUGCGGAAAAGAUAAGUGCUGAAAGCAUCUAAGCACGAAACUUGCCCCGAGAUGAGUUCUCCCUGAGACUUUAAGUCUCCUGAAGGAACGUUGAAGACGACGACGUUGAUAGGUCGGGUGUGUAAGCGCAGCGAUGCGUUGAGCUAACCGAUACUAAUGAACCGUGAGGCUUAACCUUACAACGCCGAAG